AGAUAGUCUUUCUGGNAGAGGAUACACCUGUUCCCAUUCCGAACACAGAAGUUAAGCUCUCUAGCGCUGAUGGUACUUGGUGGGAAACUGCCUGGGAGAGUAGGACGUAGCCACGUG
rnacentral:rRNA from 1 species